CCUACGGGAGGCAGCAGUGAGGAAUAUUGGUCAAUGGGCGCGAGCCUGAACCAGCCAAGCCGCGUGAAGGAUGACUGCCCUACGGGUUGUAAACUUCUUUUGUAAAGGAAUAAAGUCCGGCACGUGUGCCUUUUUGUAUGUACUUUAUGAAUAAGGAUCGGCUAACUCCGUGCCAGCAGCCGCGGUAAUACGGAGGAUCCGAGCGUUAUCCGGAUUUAUUGGGUUUAAAGGGAGCGUAGAUGGGUUGUUAAGUUAGUGGUGAAAGUUUGCGGCUCAACCGUAAAAUUGCAAUUGAUACUGGCAGCCUUGAGUACAGUUGAGGUAGGCGGAAUGCGUGGUGUAGCGGUGAAAUGCAUAGAUAUCACGAAGAACUCCGAUUGCGAAGGCAGCCUACUAAACUGCCACUGACAUUGAGGCUCGAAAGUGUGGGUAUCAAACAGGAUUAGAUACCCGGGUAGUC
rnacentral:rRNA from 1 species